CCUACGGGUGGCAGCAGUGAGGAAUAUUGGUCAAUGGCCGGAAGGCUGAACCAGCCAUGCCGCGUGAAGGUCAGUGCCCUAUGGGCGUUAAACUUCUGUUGUUCGGGAGCAAUAAUGGUCACGUUUAGCCAGACGAGAGUACCGUACGAAUACGCAUCGGCUAACCCCGUGCCGGCAGCCGCGGUAAUACGGGGGAUGCAAGCGUUAUCCGGAUUUAGUGGGUUUAAAGGGUGCGUAGGGUGUGAGGUAAGUCAGCGGUGAAAUGCCCGCGCUCAACGGGGUGAAGUGCCAUUGAUACUGCCUUGCUGGAAUGCGGAUGCGGUGGGAGGAAUGUGUGGUGUAGCGGUGAAAUGCAUAGAUAUCAGACAGAACACCGAUUGCGAAAGCAUCUCACGAAUCCGCGAUUGACGCUGAUGCACGAAAGCGUGGGUAUCAAACAGGAUUAGAUACCCGGGUAGUC
rnacentral:rRNA from 1 species